GAUGAACGCUGGCGGCGUGCCUAAUACAUGCAAGUCGAGCGAACGGACGAGAAGCUUGCUUCUCUGAUGUUAGCGGCGGACGGGUGAGUAACACGUGGAUAACCUACCUAUAAGACUGGGAUAACUUCGGGAAACCGGAGCUAAUACCGGAUAAUAUUUUGAACCGCAUGGUUCAAAAGUGAAAGACGGUCUUGCCGUCACUUAUAGAUGGAUCCGCGCUGCAUUAGCUAGUUGGUAAGGUAACGGCUUACCAAGGCAACGAUGCAUAGCCGACCUGAGAGGGCGAUCGGCCACACUGGAACUGGGACACGGUCCAGACUCCUACGGGAGGCCGCAGUAGGGAAUCUUCCGCAAUGGGCGAAAGCCUGACGGAGCAACGCCGCGUGAGUGAUGAAGGUCUUCGGAUCGUAAAACUCUGUUAUUAGGGAAGAACAUAUGUGUAAGUAACUGUGCACAUCUUGACGGUACCUAAUCAGAAAGCCACGGCUAACUACGUG
rnacentral:rRNA from 1 species